UGGGGAAUUUUGCACAAUGGGGGAAACCCUGAUGCAGCGACGCCGCGUGAUUUAGAAGGCCUUCGGGUUGUAAAAAUCUUUUGUAUGGGAAGAAAAUGACAGUACCAUACGAAUAAGGACCGGCUAAUUACGUGCCAGCAGCCGCGGUAAUACGUAAGGUCCGAGCGUUGUCCGGAAUCAUUGGGCGUAAAGGGUACGUAGGCGGAUAAGCAAGUUAGAAGUGAAAUCCUAUAGCUCAACUAUAGUAAGCUUUUAAAACUGCUCAUCUUGAGGUAUGGAAGGGAAAGUGGAAUUCCUAGUGUAGCGGUGAAAUGCGCAGAUAUUAGGAGGAAUACCGGUAGCGAAGGCGACUUUCUGACCAUAUACUGACGCUGAGGUACGAAAGCGUGGGUAGCAAACAGG
rnacentral:rRNA from 1 species